rnacentral:rRNA from 1 species
UACGAAGGGGGCUAGCGUUGCUCGGAAUUACUGGGCGUAAAGCGCACGUAGGCGGCUUCUUAAGUCGGGGGUGAAAUCCUGGAGCUCAACUCCAGAACUGCCUUCGAUACUGGAGCUUGAGUCCGGGAGAGGUGAGUGGGAACUGCGAGUGUAGAGGUGAAAUUCGUAGAUAUUCGCAAGAACACCAGUGGCGAAGGCGGCUCACUGGCCCGGUACGUGACGCUGAGGUGCGAAAGCGUGGGGAGCAAACAGGG